rnacentral:tRNA from 1 species
GGGUAUAUAGCUCAGUGGUAGAGUGCAUGAUGUCCUGGAUUCAAUCCCCAGUACUUCCA